AUGUCGCUCCGGCGGCGCCUCCUAGGCCUCUCCGCCCACAUCCGCCGCUCCCUCUCCACCGCCGCGGCCUCCUCGCAGUCGCACCCGCCAUGGGCGAUCAUCGACGGCACGUCGAUGGUCGACAGAUCGUCGUCGGCCCCGGUGGCGUGCUUCCGCCCCGUCCAGCCUCCAGGCGUCUCCGACUUCACGGCCCCGGCGCACCUCCUCAGCCCCAGACCACGCCCCGCCGCCCCCGACAGCAACGUCGUCCAGUCCCUCUUCGGCAGCGUCGGCGCCGUCAGCGGCGACGGCCACCUCCUCCUCACCUACCACGACCUCCGGGCGGAGGGCCCCUGCACCAAGUGGGAUUUCGCGCGGGACCUCGAAAUCCAGCGCUUCGUCUGCAACCCUGUCAGCGGGCAGAUGCUCCGCCUGCCCGACAUCGGCCGCUCCAGGAGGACCCUCGUCGUCCACCACAUGGGCCUCCUCACCCAGGGCGCCGGUGGCGGGCCGCCUGACAGGUUCGCCGUCGCCGAUCUCCUUUCCCAUGGCGCCAUCAUUCCGCGGUUUCUCUCGGAGGAAGGGGAGUGGAGGACGGUGAUUCGGGCCACACCAUCCUUACGGCUGCCGCGCCUGAUGGAGGUGAACCAGGAGACGGUUGCCUUCGGCGGCCGCCUGUGGUGGGUCGACCUCACCCUGGGCGCCAUCUCCGUCGACCCGUUCGACGACCGGCUGAAGACAAGCUUCGUCGAGCUGCCGAGCGGCAGCGUGCUGCCUGCGCGCGCACUUACAGACAGCCAACAUUUUGGGGACAGGCGUCGAGCUGCCGAUGACCAGAAUCUGUUCAUGCGGGAGGUGGCCAAGCACCGGCGCAUGGGCGUCAGCGAGGGGAGGCUGCGCUAUGCCGAGGUGUCUCCCCACGACCCGUUCGUGCUCAGCUGCUUUGCGCUCGACGACGAGGGCAGCAGCUGGACGCUGGAGCACGAGGUGGCGCUCAAGCAGGUCUUGGCUGAUGGAGGCUACCCGUCGGCGGCGCCACAGAUCGCCGUGCUUGACCCACUUCACACCAAUGCCAUCUACCUCAAGGUCGGUGAGCACCUCGUCGUCGUGGACAUUCACAAUGGGAAGGUGAUUGGGGCAUCGCCGCUUCAAGAGCAAUACCUCUCUCUUGUGUCAUGUGUGCUUCCACCAUGGCUUAGAUCAAGCCAGAUCCCUACGGCAGGCAAGAGGGAUGACAUGGAAGCGACAGAUGAUCUGGUUAGUUGCAUCUAG
rnacentral:rRNA from 1 species